rnacentral:rRNA from 1 species
GUUGCUAGAAGAUGACGAGUGGCGUUAGGGUGAGUAAUACUUAGGGAUCUGCCCUUGGGUGGGGGAUAACCAUUGGAAACGAUGGCUAAUACCGCAUAAUGUCUACGGACCAAAGGGGGCUUCGGCUCUCACCUGAGGAUGAACCUAAGCGAGAUUAGCUAGUUGGUGAGGUAAAGGCUCACCAAGGCGACGAUCUCUAGCUGUUCUGAGAGGAAGAUCAGCCACACUGGGACUGAGACACGGCCCAGACUCCUACGGGAGGCAGCAGUGGGGAAUAUUGCACAAUGGGGGGAACCCUGAUGCAGCCAUGCCGCGUGUGUGAAGAAGGCCUUAGGGUUGUAAAGCACUUUCAGAUGUGAGGAAAGGUUGUUGGUUAAUACCCAGCAGCUGUGACGUGAGCGUCAGAAGAAGCACCGGCUAACUCCGUGCCAGCAGCCGCGGUAAUACGGAGGGUGCGAGCGUUAAUCGGAAUUACUGGGCGUAAAGCGCACGCAGGCGGUUUGUUAAGCUAGAUGUGAAAGCCCCGGGCUCAACCUGGGACGGUCAUUUAGAACUGGCAAACUAGAGUCUUGGAGAGGGGAGUGGAAUUCCAGGUGUAGCGGUGAAAUGCGUAGAUAUCUGGAGGAACAUCAGUGGCGAAGGCGACUCUCUGGUCACAGACUGACGCUCAUGUGCGAAAG